rnacentral:misc_RNA from 1 species
AUCCCCUCUUUCUAAGGAUGAUCCUUCAGCGAGCUCACGCUCACUAUCGGAUCGUUUUAGAAACAUCAGUGGCCAACAGAUCGCCAGAUCGUUGAGCUGCAUUGGCGGGAUUUCGCCGUCUUCGUUUCUCUUUCUUCGCGGACGAACACGCGCCGGGGCUGCGCUGUGCGAUUGCAUCUGCGCUGGUCGCCGAUGCAUGCACGCAAGACCCUAGUCCUGAAAAGGAUAGCGUUAGGGCUUGUAGCUCAGUUGGUUAGAGCGCGCGCUUGAUAAGCGUGAGGUCGGAAGUUCAAGUCUUCCCAGGCCCACCACUUUCAUCGAGUGAGCAUUCGUCUUCUGGUUACGGGGCCAUAGCUCAGCUGGGAGAGCGCGUGCUUUGCAAGCAUGAGGUCGUCGGUUCGAUCCCGUCUGGCUCCACCAGAUGGUUUGAUCACCGAGAUCAUGUACCGUCGUCCGCGAAACAUCACUUCGCAUUCACUAGUCUGGAUAGACAGUGAACUGCGUGUUUUCUGACAUCGUAAAGAGGAGAUCGAUCCGAGUUGGGUCGUGCAGCAUAUCGUUGCGCGAGCCUUCAUUAUCUCCGGAUCAUUUUCGGCGCUCGCUUUCAGCCGUGAGGUUGAAUGCGAGUUGUAAAAUGAUCCUUUUAGCGAAGCUUGACCGCCUCGCUAUCGGAACGAUCUUACGAAGCAAGCUGGUCUUUCUAGUCAAUGUCCGGCUGCAGAUAGCGCUCAUCGAGGGCGCGUGCCGCAAGGCAAUUCUGCAGACAACAUUCUGCCGAGUGUGUGGACAUUGAUAAUGAGAGCAAUCAAGUGCCUUAAGGGUGUUCGGUGGAUGCCUUGGCGCUGAGAGGCGAUGAAGGACGUGCUACGCUGCGAUAAGCCGUGGGGAGCUGCGAAGAAGCUUUGAUCCGCGGAUUUCCGAAUGGGGAAAC